rnacentral:rRNA from 1 species
UUGGUGACCAGCGGAGGGAUCAUUACCGAGUUUACAACUCCCAAACCCAAUGUGAACGUUACCAAACUGUUGCCUCGGCGGGAUCUCUGCCCCGGGUGCGUCGCAGCCCCGGACCAAGGCGCCCGCCGGAGGACCAACCAAAACUCUUAUUGUAUACCCCCUCGCGGGUUUUUUUUAUAAUCUGAGCCUUCUCGGCGCCUCUCGUAGGCGUUUCGAAAAUGAAUCAAAACUUUCAACAACGGAUCUCUUGGUUCUGGCAUCGAUGAAGAACGCAGCGAAAUGCGAUAAGUAAUGUGAAUUGCAGAAUUCAGUGAAUCAUCGAAUCUUUGAACGCACAUUGCGCCCGCCAGUAUUCUGGCGGGCAUGCCUGUCCGAGCGUCAUUUCAACCCUCGAACCCCUCCGGGGGGUCGGCGUUGGGGAUCGGCCCUGCCUUGGCGGUGGCCGUCUCCGAAAUACAGUGGCGGUCUCGCCGCAGCCUCUCCUGCGCAGUAGUUUGCACACUCGCAUCGGGAGCGCGGCGCGUCCACAGCCGUUAAACACCCAACUUCUGAAAUGUUGACCUCGGAUCAGGUAGGAAUACCCGCUGAACUUAAGCAUAUCA